rnacentral:lncRNA from 1 species
ACUCCUUACUAAACGAAGGAGGGCAGAGGAGUGCCGUUUUGGAAAUAUCAAGGGGAAUGAAAAGAGAAAGAGAAUUGACGGGAGAGAGAGGAAUCUGCCCACACUCAGGGGAUCAUCCAGAAUUCACAGAUGAACAGGGUGCACUCAAGGAAGACUGCCCCUCCAUCAGAGCACCACCCCUCAGUGACUGCUGACGUGUAAGACACUUCCAGCAUCUUUUUACCAGGCCCCACCCUUGGGGAUGCCCAGACCAAGAUAUCACUCUUUGCACUAAGUGACUCCUGAGAUACCAGCCCUUUACCUGACUUACAUUCUGUCAUCCUGCAUCAGAAUUGUUUCGAAUUUUUAGAGGUAUUGUGUUAUAAUGGUGUUCAAUGAAGUUGGAAGAAUUCUGGCUCUGCUGCUUAGAAACUGGCAAGUUACCUGAUUUCUUGGGACCUCCAUUCUCUCAUCUGUAAAUUAGGACUAAUAAUACCUACAAUGCAGGAUAUUUGUUAGGAUUACACAUUAGUUGGUACUCAAUAAAUGGCAGCUAUUGAAAAGCAGUGUAGUAUGGUGGUUAAAAGCAUGGAGUCUGGAUCUAGACAGAGGUUGAAUCCUUGCUUUGUUACCUACUGUCUGUGUGACUGAUUUUCUAUGUGUCUCAUUUUCCUAAUCUAUCAAGUGGGGAUAAUAAUGGCACAGUUUCUAUCUCGUAGAGUUGAUGAAGAGAUAUGAUGGUUAUAAUUCAGAGUCUGUCAGAUAAAAAGCAUUUAGUAGAUGGAAGUAGCAGUGGUAGUAUCAACAGCAGGAGUAGUAAUAAUUGUUGUUGUUAUUAUUAUUACAAAAUAUACAGUGCAAGGCAACAGUUAAGACUGUGUGCUGUGGUGCUGAACCACUUGGAUUCACAUCCUGGUUCUACUCCUUUCCAGUUUUGUGAUCUCACAGUCUCCAUUCCCUCAUCCUUAACCUGGGAAUAAUAAUAGUAUUGCCUUCAUAGGAUUUAAUGAAUUAAUAUAUGUAAAUUACUUCGAACCUGAUAAUAAACAAUAAAUAGUAAACAAUAAAUUUUAGCCAGAACAGUGAUGGUAAACAAUAAAUAGUAAACAAUAAAGGUUAGCCAUUAUAUUCCCAAAUUUCAAUCAGCUAUUGCUCCAGGAUUUAGGCAUUUCUGUGGGUAGUUUUAAAGUUUGAUAUCUUAUACAAUUAAAUCAAAUGUAUGUAUUAUGUGGUGAUUAACCUGUAUACCAGUUCCCUGGGAAAUAAACGGGCUUUCAGCCAUAAAAGGUUUUCAGCUGGGUCCCCGCUGACCAUCUCUUCAGUUUCUAUGUGUAUAGCAGAUGGUGGACUGCAUUUUUUUAAAGUAUUGCUUCUAAAGGGAAGACUAUAAAGUUCUUAGAAAAAUAAAAUGCUCUAAUUACAAGAGAAUGCCAUUGUCUCGGCUGUCUCACCCCACAUCUUAAUGACCGAUACUGUGGAAUAUGACACAAAGGGAAGAGAUCUCAUAAUUAGGCACAUUGGAGAAUCUCCUCGUGUGCUACAGACUGUGAUUUCCAGUGACACACCAAAAGCCAGCCACUAUAAAUCCCUUUUUACUUUUCUCUCUGGCUGUACUGCAGUAACAGCACAAGUCGUUCGUUCAGAUACCGGAAAGGCUUACAGUCCAGGAAACUUUUUUUUCUUGUCUCCAGCCAAUAAUCUUGUAGCAUGGUGAUGUCACCCCACAGUUAUGCAAUAUGACUUAACUGUUGGAUAGGUGACAGGAAUUCCACGGACACCAAGAUCACAAUGAAAUUGCUUAGCUGCUAAAUUAGUCAUAUUGUACAUUAGAGAUAAGUCACUUUUAAAAAAGCUGUGAUUAACUGCCAGUUCAAAUAGUACUAUUCUUUGGGUAGGGAAGUCAGGACCCCAUCACUCAUAGUUUAAAUGAUCCCAUCCAGUUAUUCCAGCAUCUGAGUAAUACAAACAAGGUAGUUAUCAAACUUCACAAUAUCACAGGCCACUUGAAAAGGGACCCAGUGUGAAAAGGAAACACUUUCUAUCCUCUAUAUUUAGGAGGAAUUUUGUACAAAAUUUCCUGAUUGUCUUCCAAAAUUAGUAAUUUUAAUCUCUUGAUGACUUUCCUAAUCGAAAUAGGAUGAGAGUAGGAUCCUGUUCCUCAAUGAUGACAAGGAUUGUUUAGUAUUGUUUUCUUUUUCUCACACAAACUGGGCUCUGUCCUACAAGUCAACUACACUGUGAAAGGGGACUUUUUACUGACCACAAGCCAUGAUGAGGUAGAUGUCACUUAUUCUACAAUAUCGAUUGUUAGAAUAAUCCUUAAAUCUUCCCAUUUUUAACACAUGUGUUAGAAAAACUUAGAAAACACUGAAAAGUACAAAAAUAAGCAAAGCCCCCACAGUCCCAUCCUUCCCAAAACAACCAUAACUAAAACUUGGUUGUAAUUUCUUCUAGCCUCAACAAAGAUUGAAUAAAUACAACAGCCUAACAAACUUCUUGCCUGGCAGUGUGCUGAGUGCUGGGCAUAGAAAGAUAAAUAAGACUUCAUCACUGCCCCUCAGGAAGUACACAGCUUACUGUAAUGGGGUAUGUAAACACAAAAAAGGCAUUUAGCCCAGGCUGCAGAGAACGGAAUGUGGGGUGGAGAAGAUGCAAGGGAUUAUCAGAGCAGAUUAGAGAAAUCCUAGAGUGGGACUAUUCAAAGUUUUGUCCACUAGGUGACUGCAGAUUUUACAAGCAACCAAUAGAAACUGAGAGUCCUCAUUUAAAAUUUUCAGAGCAAUUUGACAGAGUAACUGUAAUUCUGUUGAAUCUAAUAAUUUUUAAAAUUGGGUUUGUCUUUUAUAUUUUUUAUCUCAUUUUUGUUGUAUUUAUUUUUAUUGUAUUUUCAAAAAUAUCAGUCCACAAUGGAUUGGAGAUUUAAAAAUAUAUAAAACUCUAUUCUCAUGAUGAAGAGUUUGAAAACCACUAUACUCAGAGAUUCAAUAGCUUAGCCAAGUGUAGGGUGACCAACCAUCCGGUUUGUGCUAAAACUGGGAAAGUUACAAGCAAAUCAGGUG